UUCCUGUUGCUUCCUGGUAUAUUGACUGCUCCGGUGAUCAUUCUGUAGUAGUACUUUAUCUUGUAUUUCCCUCAGUAUGUUCCCCUCCCGACAUUUCCUGUUUAGUUCUUCAUUUCUGUUAUUUGUAUAUACACUGUUAAAUUGUACAGAUUGAUUUGUAGGUGCCUUGCCUUAGCCUCGUCACUACUUUGUCGAGGUUAGGCUCGACACUUACCAGUACAUAGGGUCGGUUGUACUGAUACUGCACUCUGCAC
rnacentral:lncRNA from 1 species